rnacentral:rRNA from 1 species
AGUGACUAAUAGUUUAACGGCCGCGGUACCCUGACCGUGCGAAGGUAGCAUAAUCACUUGUUCUUUAAAUCAGGACUAGUAUGAAUGGCCCCACGAGGACUACCCUGUCUCCCCCCUCUAAUCAGUGAAACUGAUCCCCUCGUGAAGAAGCGAGGAUAUUCCUAUAAGACGAGAAGACCCCAUGGAACUUUAAACUAGUACCACUCCUCCAUACGAGACCCCAUGCCUACUAGUCUUUCGGCUGGGGCGACCCCGGGAAAAAAUAAAACCCCCGAGAUGAAAGGAACUACCUUAUCCCAGAACUACUAUUCAAAGAAUCAAAAAAUGACACUAUUGACCCAAUAAUUGACCCAAUACUUGACCAACGAACCAAGCUACCCUGGGGAUAACAGCGCAAUCCAUUUCAAGAGCCCUCAUCAACAAAUGGGCUUACGACCUCGAUGUUGGAUCAGGAAAUCCCAGUGGUGCAGCCGCUACUAAAGGUUCGUUUGUUCAACGAUUAAAAUCCU